rnacentral:rRNA from 1 species
CACGUAGGGCGCAAGCGUUGUCCGGAAUUAUUGGGCGUAAAGAGCUCGUAGGCGGUCUGUUGCGUCCGCUGUGAAAACCCGGGGCUUAACCCCUGGCUUGCAGUGGAUACGGACAGACUAGAGGUAGGUAGGGGAGAAUGGAAUUCCCGGUGUAGCGGUGAAAUGCGUAGAUAUCUGGAGGAACACCGGUGGCGAAGGCGGCAUCCUGGACCAACACUGACGCUGAGGAGCGAAAGCCAGGGGAGCAAACGGG